rnacentral:rRNA from 1 species
CUGAUAAGGGCGCCUAGUUGCUGGACGUAGACCCGAAACCAAGUGAUCUAUCCAUGGCCAGGAUGAAGGUGCGGUAACACGCACUGGAGGUCCGAACCCACUAAUGUUGAAAAAUUAGGGGAUGAGCUGUGGAUAGGGGUGAAAGGCUAAACAAACUUGGAAAUAGCUGGUUCUCUCCGAAAACUAUUUAGGUAGUGCCUCAAGUAUCACCGACGGGGGUAAAGCACUGUUAUGGCUAGGGGGUCAUCGCGACUUACCAAACCAUUGCAAACUCAGAAUACCGUUGAGUGCGAGCUUGGGAGACAGACAUCGGGUGCUAACGUCCGGUGUCAAGAGGGAAACAACCCAGACCGCCGAUUAAGGUCCCGAAGCCAUAGUUAAGUGGGGAAACGAGGUGGGAAGGCUUAGACAGCCAGGAGGUUGGCUUAGAAGCAGCCAUCCUUUAAAGAAAGACGUAAUAGCUCACUGGUCGAGUCGUCCUGCGCGGAAGAUGUAACGGGG